AUGCGGCGGCCUCGGCGCGCGCGCACGUGGACCACCUGCCGCUUGGGCCGCGCGCUCCUCCCCUCCCCCUCCCCCUCCCCCGUGCAGGAAUUUGGGGGUCCGGGGGGGGGGGGCGCACAGAGGAUGAGGCCGGACCCCCCCCACCCCCCCUCGGGGAAGGCGGGGUCGUCCACGGAGCUCGACCUCGGCCAAGCGCGGGAGUUUCCCCCCAACCCCCCCCCCGCAGCCCCCCUCCCGGUGCACGGGGAUGGGGGGGGGGGUCCCCCUCCCGGGGGUCGGGCUGCCGGCCCGGAGGCCCGCCGGGGGAGGAGGGUCCGCGGCGGCGGCGGCGGCGGCGGCGGCGGCGGCAUCAGCGGGCGCGGGAUUCGCACCCGCAGCGGGGGUCCCCGGCGUACCGGGCGGCGCGGCGGCGGCGCGGGCGGCCAGGACGAGCGCGGCGGCCAGGAGCGGCAGCAGCAGGCGGCGGCGGCGGCGGAGGAGCAGGAGCAGGAGCAGGAGCAGGCCCCCCGCCCCGCCGCCCCCCGACCACCCCAUCCCGCCCCGAGCCCCCUCUCCCUCCUCCCGCUCCUCCUCCCGCUCCUCCUCCCGCUCCCGCUCCCGCUCCCGGACGCGCGGCCGCCGGCUCAGGCCGCGAUGGGCAGGGCGGGCCGCAUCCCGCCGCCUCCUCGCUGCCCGGCGCGGUGCGGUGCGCGGUGCGCGGUGCGGUCCCGGCUGCGGGGCUCGGUGCGGGCCGGUCCCGGCUCCGGUCGGGCGUUCAGUACGUCCCCGGCCGCGUCCCGGCGGGCCGCAUCGCCCCGCCGCCGACCUUCCUUCCCUCUUUCCCUCCUUUCCUCCCUCCCUCCCUCCCUCCCGACUGCAGCAGGACCGGUGGGGGCUCCUCCGCACGUAAUGCUGACGACGGCCCCCCGGCCUUCCUCCUCCUCCCCCUCCUCCUCCUCCCCCCCGGUGACCCCCCGCCCGCCCGGAGGUCAGCACUGCCCUCUUCUUUCCCCCCCCCCCCGCACGCAGAAAAACCCCCCCCUCUCCUUCGAGGCGCCGGACGCCCGUGGGGUGGGCGUCCACGCGUGCACACCCGCGCACGCCGUUGCACACCCGCGCUUCCAUCGGCGCAUACGGGAGGGGGACAGGAAAAGGACCGAUUCGCGCCCACGCCGAAUCCCCGACCCCCUUAGCCCGGGCUUCGGAGUCGGAGGUCGCGGGUUCCGGUCCCGGCUCUGCCCCUCGGCGGCCGCGGGCGAGUCGCUUCGCUUCCCUGGGCCUCGGUGA
rnacentral:lncRNA from 1 species